CGAGCUAAGGGAAGGUAAAAGUGGGAAGGAAAUGAAGGUCUGAGGGCCCAUGGGGGAUCCUCGGGCACCCCGGGGACCCUAGGGAGGUCCGGGACGAAAAAACUCGUCGGGCCCCGGGAAGUCGGAAAAUGGCCCGAAAACUGUAAAAAAACGUGGAUUAUAGUACACGAAUCCGGGGGCCCGUGGGGCCCGGGCACCGGUGCCCACGGG